UACGUAGGUGGCGAGCGUUAUCCGGAUUUAUUGGGCGUAAAGCGUCCGCAGCCGGUUUGUUAAGUCCAGAAUUAAAGCCCGAAGCUCAACUUCGGUUCGUUCUGGAAACUGGCAAGCUUGAGUAUGGUAGAGGCAAGUGGAACUUCUAGUGUAGCGGUAAAAUGCGUAGAUAUUAGAAAGAACACCAGUGGCGAAGGCGACUUGCUGGGCCAUUACUGACGGUCAGGGACGAAAGCGUGGGGAGCAAAUA
rnacentral:rRNA from 1 species